UCCGGGGUCGUUCAACGGCAGGACACGGGAUUUUGGAUCCCGCUAUCCAGGUUCGAAUCCUGGCCCCGGAG
rnacentral:tRNA from 1 species